UACAGAGGAUGCAAGCGUUAUCCGGAUUCACUGGGUUUAAAGGGUGCGUAGGUGGAUUAGUAAGUCAGUGGUGAAAUCUCCGGGCUUAACCCGGAAACUGCCAUUGAUACUAUUAGUCUUGAAUACCGUGGAGGUCAGCGGAAUAUGUCAUGUAGCGGUGAAAUGCUUAGAUAUGACAUAGAACACCAAUUGCGAAGGCAGCUGGCUACACGAGCAUUGACACUCAGGCACGAAAGCGUGGGGAUCAAACAGG
rnacentral:rRNA from 1 species